AAGGGACCUAGCGUAGUUCGGAAUUACUGGGCUUAAAGAGUUCGUAGGUGGUUGAAAAAGUUGGUGGUGAAAUCCCAGAGCUUAACUCUGGAACUGCCAUCAAAACUUUUCAGCUAGAGUAUGAUAGAGGAAAGCAGAAUUUCUAGUGUAGAGGUGAAAUUCGUAGAUAUUAGAAAGAAUACCAAUUGCGAAGGCAGCUUUCUGGAUCAUUACUGACACUGAGGAACGAAAGCAUGGGUAGCGAAGAGGAUUAGAUACCCUCGUAGUCCAUGCCGUAAACGAUGUGUGUUAGACGUUGGAAAUUUAUUUUCAGUGUCGCAGGGAAACCGAUAAACACACCGCCUGGGGAGUACGACCGCAAGGUUAAAACUCAAAUGAAUUGACGGGGACCCGCACAAGUAGUGGAGCAUGUGGUUUAAUUCGAAGAUACGCGCAGAACCUUACCAACACUUGACAUGUUCGUCGCGACUCUAAGAGAUUAGAGUUUUCGGUUCGGCCGGACGAAACACAGGUGCUGCAUGGCUGUCGUCAGCUCGUGUCGUGAGAUGUUGGGUUAAGUCCCGCAACGAGCGCAACCCUCACUUUUAGUUGCCAUCAUUAAGUUGGGCACUCUGAAAGAACUGCCAGUGAUAAGCUGGAGGAAGGUGGGGAUGACGUCAAGUCCUCAUGGCCCUUACGUGUUGGGCUACACACGUGCUACAAUGGCAUCUACAACAGGAAGCAGGACGGCAACGUUAAGCAAAUCCCGAAAAGAUGCCUCAGUUCGGAUUGCACUCUGCAACUCGAGUGCAUGAAGCUGGAAUUACUAGUAAUCGUGGAUCAGCGUGCCACGGUGAAUGCGUUCCCGGGUCUUGUACACACCGCCCGUCACACCAUGGGAGUUGGUUCUACCUUAAGGCAAGGUUCUAAACCCUUGACCACGGUAUAGUCAGCGACUGGGGUGAAGUCGUAACAAGGUAGCCGUAGGGGAACCUGCGGCUGGAUUACCUCCUUUCUAAGGAUGAGUGAAAGUAAAAUUUCACUCUAAAUAAUAUACAUCGGUAAUGUUGACCGUCCUCAUUUCUCUUCUUAAAGUAAUGUUUCCUUCUUGUAGGGCCGGUAGCUCAGUUGGUUAGAGCACACCCUUGAUAAGGGUGGGGUCGAAAGUUCGAGUCUUUCUCGGCCCACCAAAAACCUAAAUGGGGGAUUAGCUCAUCUGGGAGAGCGCCUGAUUUGCAUUCAGGAGGUAGCAGGUUCGAUCCCUGUAUCCUCCACCAGGAAACAUUUAGUUAUUAAAACUGUAAAUAAAAAUAAUUUAUAUCAAUAUCUAUAUCCGAACAUUAAAAGUUAUUAUUUAAUGUUCAAAAUAAAAAUUUGAUCACAACAUAGAUAAAUUUUCUGUUAAAAGAAUUUUCUUCUGUGCAUAAAUCAAGCGUUUAAGGGCGUGUAGUGGAUGCCUUGGCACUGAAAGCCGAUGAAGGACGUGAUAUACUGCGAUAAGUUUCGGGGAGCUGUAUGUAAGCUUUGAUCCGAAAAUUU
rnacentral:sRNA from 1 species